GCACUAAUGGGGUAGUGGUAACCUGGGUCGUUGCCAUUAAGCUAUCUCGACCCGCCGGGGGUUCGAUUCCCUCUUAGUGCA